rnacentral:misc_RNA from 1 species
GUACGUCAUCCCCACCUUCCUCCGGUUUGUCACCGGCAGUCUCCUUAGAGUUCCCACCUUUACGUGCUGGCAACUAAGGACAAGGGUUGCGCUCGUUGCGGGACUUAACCCAACAUCUCACGACACGAGCUGACGACAGCCAUGCAGCACCUGUGUUCCGAUUCCCGAAGGCACCCGCCCAUCUCUGGGCAGUUCCGGACAUGUCAAGGCCAGGUAAGGUUCUGCGCGUUGCAUCGAAUUAAACCACAUACUCCACCGCUUGUGCGGGCCCCCGUCAAUUCCUUUGAGUUUCAGUCUUGCGACCGUACUCCCCAGGCGGCGAACUUAACGCGUUAGCUUCGACACUGAGUGGCUAGAUCCACCCAACGUCCAGUUCGCAUCGUUUAGGGCGUGGACUACC